UACGUAGGCAGCGAGCGUUGUUCGGAGUUACUGGGCGUAAAGAGUGCGUAGGCGGUGUUCCAAGUCUGUUUGUGAAAUCUCCCGGCUUAACUGGGAGGGUGCGGCGGAAACUGGAAUGCUGGAGUGUGGGAGAGGUAAGCGGAAUUCCCGGUGUAGCGGUGAAAUGCGUAGAUAUCGGGGAGGAACACCUGCGGUGUAGACGGCUUUACUUGGACCAUAACUGACGCUGAGGCACGAAAAGCGUGGGUAGCAAACAGG
rnacentral:rRNA from 1 species